GCUCUCCAUUGCUUGUACAAAGAUACGAGACAGUCAUGGCAAGCUUUUCAAAGGUUGCUUCACCCAUUCCAGUUUUAUAAAGUUCGUGCACCAUGGCUGUCAAGAAGAUCUUACUCUGCUUAGAACAACUCUUCAUCACUUGAAUAUGAGGUGCUUGAAACAUUUCUUGAAUCGCUGCUUCCACCUCAGUUAUUCCUACAUGUGUUUUCGCA
rnacentral:misc_RNA from 1 species